UACAGAGGUCUCAAGCGUUGUUCGGAUUCAUUGGGCGUAAAGGGUGCGUAGGCGGCGCGGUAAGUCGGGUGUGAAAUCUCGGAGCUUAACUCCGAAACUGCAUUCGAUACUGCCGUGCUUGAGGACUGGAGAGGAGACUGGAAUUUACGGUGUAGCAGUGAAAUGCGUAGAGAUCGUAAGGAAGACCAGUGGCGAAGGCGAGUUCCUGGACAGUUACUGACACUGAGGCACGAAGGCCAGGGGAGCAAACGGG
rnacentral:rRNA from 1 species